AAAAGGAGGAGGAGGAGAAGAAGGAGGAGAAGGAGAAGGAGGAGGAGAAGGAGAAGAAGAAGAAGAAGGGAGGAUUCCUGAGUUUCAGAGCUGUGCAGGACUUCAUCAGCAACCUCUUCCAGCUGCUAAAAUUCCCAUAGAUGAAAGACCCCAGGCAACUCAUUGUGAAGAUGCCCACCCCACCACUGGGUGAUUCCUUAUGGAGAACUAUAGAGCAUUCCCAGCCUUAGCCCAGAUCGUCACUUUCUCUUCUGUGCAUUUGAGAAGCAAGCAGGCGUCUCUCCAGCAUCUGCAGCUCUAGGUUCCACCCCAUAAUUUUACAGAAGAGACAGACAUGCAAUUAAGAUGACCUGCCUGGGGCCCACAACAUUAGAUCAUUUCCUCAUAUAGCAUGAAUUUGACAAAGUUCACAGAAAAUGGAACGUACUCACAGGGUGCCAUCAAAACAAAAAGGCUGGCUCAGAAUCA
rnacentral:lncRNA from 1 species